AGGCCUUGCCCAUGCCCCAUUUUACAGAAGAGGAAACGGAGGCGCAGAGAGAAGAAAUAACUUGCUGAGGGUCCGAACCAGGCUCAGAACCCAGGUUUCCUGGCUCCUCAGCUGAUCCCUUCUCUCCUCCCCAUGCCCCGGAACCUCAGGCUUUGCCUAAUGAACUGAAGUUCUGGGGCUAGAGCUGUCCUUUUGUGACUGCUCUCCCUGACCUUUGGGGAGGUGACAUAGCGCACAGAAGGGCUCAGUUGCCCCCAGAGUGCCAACGCUGGAAUUUAUAGGAGUUCUCAAUCUAUUUUGGGAGUGGAGUGCACAUUAGGAGUUUUGUGUUGAACCUAUGUUUGCAAUAUUUAUUUUAAAAAAUCGUAUGUGUAUUGGGGGUGCCUGGAAGUGGAGGGGGCGCUCUGGAAGGGCCUAAAUCCCCGAACAGUCCACCCCUCAGUGCCUGGGUGCCACCUGGGAGCUUUGAGCCCAGCCCAGCAAGGUAUGGGUUGCAAGAACUGGCUGGGGAUAUAGUAGAUUGAGCAUCUCUUGGGGGAAAGGCAGAGGCUAAGAAUCAAUACUUCCACCACCUGCAGAUCAAAGAGAGCAUCACUCCCCCCAACCCACUACCCACCCCUUCCAGCCCACCUUAGGGCAAAUUCUUCCAACUCCCCAUCUACAGCACAUAGCCCUGCCACACGCAUCUCUUUGCUCAGCCCACCGUUGAGAUCGUUCACUCACUAUGCUUUCAGUGGUCGAAUGAAUUCCAUCAAAUGGAUAUGCUGUUAUUUACUUAUUCAUUCCCCUACUGGUAAUUUCCAUUUCCCAACUGCAAUGUAUGAGGAUUCUGAUUUCUCCACAUCCUCACCAAUGCUUGUUAUUGUUGAUUUUUUUUUUUUUAAGUAUAGUAACCCAGCGUGGAGUGGUGUCUUGUGAUUUUAUUUGCACUUCCCUGACGUUCGGCAUCUUUUCAUGUGCUUUUUGCCUAUUUGUGUACCUUCUCUGGAGAAAUGUCUAUUCAAAUCCUUUAUCCAUUUUUAAAUUGUCUUUAUUAUUGAGUUGUAAGAGUUCUUUAUAUGCUCUGGUUACAAGCCCCUUAUCAGAUACUUGAUUUGCAAAAGUUUUUUUCCCAUUAUGUGGCUUGUCUUUUCACUUUCUUAGUGGUAUCAUUUGUAGCACCAAAGUUUUACAUUUUUAUGUAAUCCAAUAUAAUCUAUUUUUUAGUUAUGUACGGGUUUUUUGUGUCAACAUGUUUCUUUUUUUCAAAUUUGUUUGUGGUAAAAUACAUAUAAUGUAAAAUUGAUCAUUAAGCAUUUUAAGUGUAUUGUUCAGUGGUAUUAACUACAUUCCUAAUGCUAUGCAGCCAUCACCACCAUCCAUCUCCACAGCUCUUUUCAUCUUUUAAAACUGAAACUAUAUCCAUUAAGCAAUAAUGCUGGCCGGGUGUGGUGGCUCACACCUGUAAUCCCAACACUUUGGGAGGUCAAGGCGGGCGGAUCACAAAGUCAGGAGUUUGAGGUCACCCUAGCCAACAUGGUGAAACCCUGUCUCUACUAAAAAUACAAAAUUAGCAGGGUGUGGUGGCACACAGCUGUAGUCCCAGUGACUCAGGAGGCUGAGUCAGGAGAAUUGCUGGUACCAAGGAGGCAGAGGUUGCAGUGAGCCAAGAUCAUGCCACUGCACUCCAGCCUGGGCAACGGAGCGAGACUCCCAUCUCAAAAACAACAACAAAAACAACAACAACAACAAUUCUUCAUUCCUCCUCAUAGCAACCACAAUGUUACUUUCUGUCUCUAUGAAUUUGACUACUCUAAGUACCUCAUAUAAGUAGAAUCAUACAGUAUUUGUCUUUUUAUGACUGGCUUAUUUCACUUAGCAUAAUAUUCUCAAGGUGCAUUCAUGUUGUAGCAUAUGUGAGAAUUCCUUCCUUUUUUCUUUAUUUUUAAGCCUAAAUAAUACUCUAUAGUCUGUAUAUACUACAUUUUGCUUAUCCAUUUAUCUGCUGAUGGACAAUUGGGUUACAUCCAUUGUGAAUAAGGCCAUUAUGAACAUGAGUGUACAAAUAUCUCUUUGAGACUCUGCUUUCAAUUCUUUUGGGCAUAUACCCAGAAGAGAAACUGCUAGAUCAUAUGGUAAUUCUAUUUUUAAUUUUUUAAGGAACUACCAUACUGUUUUCCACAGCAGCUGCAUCAUUUUACAUUCCCAACCUGGAACAAGUGUUCCAGUUUACCCACAUCUUUGUCAACACUUGCUAUUUUCUAUUUUCUUUAAAAUUUUUAUAGUAGCCAUCCUAAUGGGUGUGAGGUAGUUCAACAUAAGUUUAUAUUUCUCUUAGGUAAAUAUCUACUCAUGGGAUUGCUGGGCUGUAUGGGGGCAGCAUCUUCUACUAUGUGCAUCUACAUUGGAUGGCAGUGGAGCAACACAGAUUGUUUUCUGACAAAAAUCAGCCAAGUACUAGGAGAGGCAGGACUUUAGAAGUGGAGGAGAUGGAGAAGGAAGCUUAGGUUACUAUGGAGUGUGCAAAAAGGUCCUGUGGAUUUAGAUACCACCACACACAAAUGCUGUUGUUGGAAGGUACCUGCCCAGAUAAGGACUGCAUUUCCUCUAGCAUCCAGAUGGGACCAAAUGACUGCUGGCCAAUAGAAGUGAGUGGAAAGGACUGACUCCAGUUCCAGGUUGGGCCUCCAACUGCUCUGGGCACGUCGAUGGAACAGAACACCACCUCCACCCCAAUACCACCAAUUCAACUUUACAUGAAUUAUAAGCGAGAAAUAACUUGGACUGUGUUAAGUCAUUGAGUUUCUGGGGUUUAACUGUUAUUAUAGUUAAGAAUGACUUUAACUAAUAUAGUCAAUGACAUCUAACUGGAGUUAUGAAAUUCAAUUUCUACUUAGAGUAAUUGAAGCAAAGGUUGUGGGGGAGGGGAGGAGGGCAGCACACCAUGAAAUCAGAGAUCCCCAGUACGUGUUAGUUCAUCAGUCAAUCAGUCUUAAGGUCAGGGUGUAGUGUGGGCAGCAGUUGCCUCCCUCUCCCCACAGAACACCCUGAGAAUAGGAAGUUAGAGUAGUCGCAUCUUAUUACUUACAAAACAUUACCUCAAAAUGCAAACUACCCCCUGGACCCAAACUCUCUACAAUCACCAGGUUCCAUAAACUAUAAUCUACUCUGUUUUCUGGAAGAAAAUAUUAACCUGUUAAAAUUCCCUGCACAGAGAGGAAACUUUUUCUGGGAGGUAUUCCUGAACUCAUUUUGCCAACUUCCAGAUGAACAAAACUAAAGUUUCUUUUUGCUUCUUCCAAAAACAUAAAUUAUCAAAUAACAUUUAUAACUUGAAAAAGAAUCC
rnacentral:lncRNA from 1 species